rnacentral:rRNA from 1 species
GAUGAACGCUGGCGGCGUGCCUAAUACAUGCAAGUCGAGCGAACGGACGAGAAGCUUGCUUCUCUGAUGUUAGCGGCGGACGGGUGAGUAACACGUGGAUAACCUACCUCUAAGACUGGGAUAACUUCGGGAAACCGGAGCUAAUACCGGAUAAUAUUUUGAACCGCAUGGUUCAAAAGUGAAAGACGGUCUUGCUGUCACUUAUAGAUGGAUCCGCGCUGCAUUAGCUAGUUGGUAAGGUAACGGCUUACCAAGGCAACGAUGCAUAGCCGACCUGAGAGAGUGAUCGGCCACACUGGAACUGAGACACGGUCCAGACUCCUACGGGAGGCAGCAGUAGGGAAUCUUCCGCAAUGGGCGAAAGCCUGACGGAGCAACGCCGCGUGAGUGAUGAAGGUCUUCGGAUCGUAAAACUCUGUUAUUAGGGAAGAACAUAUGUGUAAGUAACUGUGCACAUCUUGACGGUACCUAAUCAGAAAGCCACGGCUAACUACGUG